AGUGCUAGUCCUUCCUCUUUUCACCUUGAUUGUUUUAGUAUUUAUUUACUGAGCAGCUAAAUUUUAAUUUUAUGAUGAGAGGGCUUUGCUAACUGCAAGUAUGCUGUCUUCUAUGAGAACAAGAUUCAAAAUAAAAUUAGUGGUGCUGCUGGGUUCUGGAGAGCAGUGGAUAAGUAAGCAGAAAAAGGGAGCUGUGCCAAGUGGGAGCAACUUACUGUCUCCUACAAGCCCAAUUCUCUGCUACAACUAUUCCAGUGGAUAAUUAUUUUCUAUUUGCCCCUCAGCACUGAAUUUUUCCACGCUCUUGUAUUUGCUGAUUCAGUGAAAAUCACUGCUUGAGAAUUUUAAAAGCAAACUAUUUUAUUUUACACAACUGUGAGUAAUUUUCAGUGUAAGACCUAAUACCAGUUCCAGUUGUUAAAUAAGAGUAAGCAAAUGAUGAGGGUGGUUUUGGGCAGAGUCCUUCUAAGUUGUAAGCGGCUAUUUGUAGUGGAUAUCUUGGAUUCCAGAUAGAUUUCAUAACAGGCGUGCUGCAUUUGAUAGUUUUAAAUUUAGCUUUAAAAACUGAGAAAUAUGAAGUUAAUGUCUGAUUUUAUAUUGUUUAAAUUUCUAUAUGGGAAUUCUCUCAGAGAUGUGUGAAAAUAAUGUUCCAUUACUCCAUCUUUUUUAUUUUGGAGAGCUGGUGAUGGAGCCUUCAAAUUAAAUAGAAACAGUACCCUGAGGUUUUUCUGAAAUUUUAAGCUCAUUUAGUGUUUAAGUUUAAGAAUUAAUUCUGAUGCUUUUCAGUCUCUUGGUACAGUAGCACAGUCUGUAUUGUUAAUUAAGUAUACAUGUGUUCAAUGUGAGAUGGAGAUAAUGUUGUUCUUGUUUCCUAAUAAAUGGAAUGGCAGUCUAAACUUUGAA